CGUGAGGGAGGAAGGCUCUUGGGUCGUAAACCUCUUUUCUCAGGGAAGAACACAAUGACGGUACCUGAGGAAUAAGCAUCGGCUAACUCCGUGCCAGCAGCCGCGGUAAUACGGAGGAUGCAAGCGUUAUCCGGAAUGAUUGGGCGUAAAGCGUCCGCAGGUGGCUAUGUAAGUCUGCUGUUAAAGAGUCUAGCUCAACUAGAUAAGAGCAGUGGAAACUACAUGGCUAGAGUGCGUUCGGGGCAGAGGGAAUUCCUGGUGUAGCGGUGAAAUGCGUAGAGAUCAGGAAGAACACCGGUGGCGAAGGCGCUCUGCUAGGCCGCAACUGACACUGAGGGACGAAAGCUAGGGGAGCGAAUGGGAUUAGAUACCCCAGUA
rnacentral:rRNA from 1 species